CUAGAUGAAAUUAAAGUAGAAUAAAAAGAUUCAAUAAAAUAAAGACAGAAAAAUAUAGCAAAGAUUCGGCAAUAGAUCUGCAGUCACUUAUGAGGAUUGAGCAAAGAUUCUACUACAAUAAAAGAAAAAAAAAAUGUAGUAUAAGAACAGAGCCGCCUCUUAACAAAUCUUAACCCCAACACAUCAUCUCUAUGAUAUUUUUCUGAAACAAGACAAAAGAAGAUAUCUUUGCUUUCCCCACA
rnacentral:lncRNA from 1 species